AGACGUCUACAUUAGAUACCCGUGUAGUCCAGGGUGUAAACGCUGCAGACUUGGUGUUGGGAACCCUUCGGGGGUGUCCAGUGCCGGAGAGAAGUUGUUAAGUCUGCUACUUGGGGAGUACGUCCGCAAGGAUGAAACUUAAAGGAAUUGGCGGGGGAGCACCGCAACGGGAGGAGCGUGCGGUUUAAUUGGAUUCAACACCGGAAAACUCACCAGUGAAGACUGUUACAUGAAAGCCAGGCUGAUGACCUUGCUAGAUUUUCAG
rnacentral:rRNA from 1 species